rnacentral:rRNA from 1 species
UACGUAGGGGGCAAGCGUUGUCCGGAUUUAUUGGGCGUAAAGCGCACGUAGGCGGCUUUGUAAGUUAGAGGUGAAAGCCCGGAGCUCAACUCCGGAAUUGCCUUUAAGACUGCAUCGCUCGAAUCAUGGAGAGGUGAGUGGAAUUCCGAGUGUAGAGGUGAAAUUCGUAGAUAUUCGGAAGAACACCAGUGGCGAAGGCGACUCACUGGACAUGUAUUGACGCUGAGGUGCGAAAGCGUGGGGAGCAAACAGGG